rnacentral:tRNA from 1 species
GGAGGGGUGCCGGAGCGGCCGAUCGGGGCGGUCUCGAAAACCGUUGUAGCGCUUGCGUUACCGUGGGUUCGAAUCCCACCCCCUCCG